AAGGUGAUGUUGGAGAAGCAGGGUACGUGCAGGCCUUAUGUGAACAUGUUCAUGGCUUUCUUGCACGUGCUCCCCUUCUCCAACCUCCCCUC
rnacentral:pre_miRNA from 2 species